GUAAAACGUAAAGGACAAGUAAUACACAUAAUAGGUAUAAAGAGUUAGCAAUACUGAUCAAUAUUUAUAUAUUAUAAUAUAAUAUAUUAAAUAAUAAAAAAGAUCUAGAAUCUAUAAAUGAGUUAUUAUGAGGUAUAUGAGUAGCGGUUAAAUGUGUAUAUACAUAUAUAACAACCAAUUAAGAAGUGAUAUAACUAAUAAAUAGAUUGACGUUGAGUAACGAAACUUAGAGUAUCAAAUAGGACUAGUCAACCUAUUAGUUCUAAGCGUAAACGAUGUAUACUAAUAUCAAUAUAAUAUCUAAUAUAUAAAGGAUAAUUAAUAUAGAUAUAAAGCAAAUGCGUAAGUAUAUCACCAGGGGAGUACUGACUAAUCGAAGAAACCCAAAACAAUAGACGGUUUGAGUGUUAACAGUGGAUUAUGUUAUUUAAU
rnacentral:rRNA from 1 species